rnacentral:rRNA from 1 species
UACGUAGGGUGCGAGCGUUGUCCGGAUUUAUUGGGCGUAAAGAGCUCGUAGGCGGUUUGUCGCGUCGGCCGUGAAAUCUCCACGCUUAACGUGGAGCGUGCGGUCGAUACGGGCAGACUUGAGUUCGGUAGGGGAGACUGGAAUUCCUGGUGUAGCGGUGAAAUGCGCAGAUAUCAGGAGGAACACCGGUGGCGAAGGCGGGUC